GACGACUUCGUCUGCCCAGAUUGCCAGCAUCGAUGCCACUCGCUCGUGGAUAGGUUUGUUUAGCCAUCGCAGGAGAGACGCCAACCAACGCCCUUAACUACAGAGAGAAAAGAGAUCCGUCGGAUACGACGGCUCAAUCCAUCAUCAUCAAUACAUCCCUGGUUUUCAGCCGAGAAUCACAAACGAAUUUCGUCUCUGUGGUGAGUGGCAAAGUACUCUCUGUGCAAGACUAGCACAACCAGAGGGUGGUGACGACACAUUGAAGGAUCAUCUACAGAAUCAUGCAAAAAAUGUGUCAUACAUAUCCUACAUGGUUUGGAAGGAACUUAUAUCUAUCUGUGGCAAAAUGAUCGUGACAAGUCUGAUUGGUGAGGUUCAGCGAGCUAAAUAUUUCGCUGUCAUGAUUGACAAGGCAUUUCACGCAAGGAACAGCUCGCAAUAGUUCUGCACUUUGUAGAUGCUAAUCGUUUCCUGCUCCUCCAGAAAUCUCAUUCCAGACCCCAGCGAGACGCUUAGUGUCAGCACCGAGUCCUCUACCUUCAGGCUCCCUGCAACGUUCCAGGUCAGAAAGCCCUUGCGCCUCCUUAUCGUCGCCCACGGUAUCCCAAUCUCCAUCUGCUGCACAAAAUGCAGGUGAUUAUGACAUCAUUCUCACAUUUUUCAUACCGAAAAGACUCCACAACAUGUGUCCCAGGCAGAAUCUGAAAGAGCUACCAGACGGUGUUGAGGAAGUGACAAAGCCAAUGACUGACACGGACCAUCUCCAGCACAAAGAUAUUUGCACUGGCAUGCCUAUUGUUGAACUCAAUAAGGAGUGGCCUUUUCUCUUAACCUACAAUGUACAAGUGUCUUGUCAACCAUUUCCACAUGCUCACCGAAAUAAAUCUGUAGUCUGCGAUGGAGGAGUCGCUUCAUGCUAGAAACAAGGGUUGUCACAUUACGAGUACAUUUUGUCAGGGCCACAGAAAAAGAAGUCUGGGGAUCUGAAGCAGUGGAUUCGCAUCAUAAAGGCCGAGGUGGAGGAGAAAAAAUCAACCAACCCUCAAUGCCAAAGUGUUUUCUUCCUGCUCCUGAACUACUUUGAAGAUGGAGAAGAUAGGCUGUUUCGCUUCUAUGGAGUUGAUGGUAAUAAGCAGAAGAUUGACGGAGACAAACUGAAGCCUCAUACUCCAUUCAUUGCAAUCAUUGGAUCAAGGGAAGACAUCU